UGCCCAUACUGAAUUCGU
rnacentral:misc_RNA from 1 species